rnacentral:rRNA from 1 species
GGACUACUGGGGUAUCUAAUCCUGUUUGCUCCCCACGCUGUCGCGCAUCAGUGUCAGUCAGACCCCAGCGAGCCGCCUUCGCCACCGGUGUUCUUCCGGAUCUCUACGCAUUCCACCGCUACACCCGGAAUUCCACUCGCCCCUAGUCUGCUCAAGCUCCGCAGUCGGUCCGGCAGACCCGGGGUUGAGCCCCGGGCUUUCACCGCCCCCUUGCAUGAGCCACCUACGCGCCCUUUACGCCCAGUGAUUCCGGACAACGCUCGCACCCUCCGUAUUACCGCGGCUGCUGGCAC